GCAAUGGCUCGAUGGAGUUCACCAGGGAGGAUCUUGCUCUGAUCUAAAUAUACAGUGGAAAUCUGAUGUGAUCUAGAAAAAAGCAAAUGUAUCUUUGAGUCAAGAAUACAACUUUUUAUACUACUGAAAUUCAGUAGAAGAAAUAAGUGCCAGGCUUCCUAAACUAAAUGUUUUCUUAAUCUGCAUAAAAAAGAUAGGCUUUUAUUUUUUUACAACAAUAAAAGAAGCGAAAGAAAGUAAUGUUCAAUUUGUUUCCAGCUGAGUGAUAACCUCAUGAUGGUGUUUAAUCCUGCCAUAUAUGCUGAUACUUCUUUAUUGUCUCACAUGGUGGUGAAAACUAUUUUGGCUUCUGCUUGUUUUUAUUGAACUAAGUAAAUAUGAAAAACCAAAUCCAUCAUUAAAACUUUUUAAUUUUAAUUUUUAGUAACAUAGUUUAUAUAAGUGUAUGUACUGCUAAAAAUAUUUUAACAUUUGAUCAUUUAAUUGAAUCUUCUACA
rnacentral:lncRNA from 1 species